ensembl:lncRNA
ACGGCCCCUCCCGCCGCGGCCCCUCCCGCCGCUCCUUGGGCGGGCUCCGCGCUGCAGGCCAGCCCCAGGCUAGGGCCCGCCGCUUCCCCACCAGCCCGGCCUUCUCCGGGGUCUCCAGCCUGGCCGGGGCCCAGCCCGGCCUUGGCCUGGUCCCAAAUUAUUUAGGCAGAACAAACGCCUGGGAGGGGCGUCCCUGCAAGGAUAGAGAGAGGCUGCUGCCAUCACUGAGGGGGCCCGAUACUGGAGUCUGGUGGUGUGAGCACACAACCAGCCCGGCUCUGGGAUUUUAUCCUUCCUAAUCCCAUGUAAUUGUAAUGCCUGGGAAAAGAAGGAACAACCUCUGCAGUGUUAGAUUCGGCAGAGAGGAAAGAGACCAGCUCCCUCCCUGUGCGGCUGUUGCUGAGGAGGGUUCCCCUUCUGACAGCCUGAGGUGACAAAUCAAGGUCAAGGGAUAGAUGCUCCCCUUCAGCACAGCACGACCAAGAACACAGGAAAACGUUAGGGUCAGCAGCAAAGGAUGUGCUUAAAAGACCACAUGGUUUUCUCUCAAGCACAGUAAAACUCCUCACCAGGAAUGAGCUGCUCAGCCUUUUUCCAUGAGUCAGUCCAAACCCAUCACACCUAUUCAUUCUUCAGGAUCAGCUUGGCAUCACACAGGAGAGCACUUCCCCCGGAAUCCAUCCUCUGCGGAUGCACCAGGCACAAAGCUCCACGGACCACUCUUCACACAGGUGUAAGUAAAUCCUGCAGGGAGCCUUUAACCACCUCAACAGCAGCUCCCAGCUUUGAGGGAUCCAAAAAUGCUGCUGCUGUGGGGGCAUUAGGAGCUACAUCAGCUCCUGGGCCGUGGGCUGUGCCUGUCCUGAUCCCAGUCCUGGUGUUUCACUGGGACUCAGCUGGGUGCACAGUGGGCUGCAUCAAGGAGUUAAACCUUCAAAACAAAGAUUUGGAGGCAAACAAGCUGUGCCAAGGAGUUAGAUCUUCAAAACAAUGCAGGUUUGAAUAUGAGAGCUGUUCCAUGAAUUUAGCCUUAAUUACAUCCUGUAGAGCUAUAACCAGCUACCACACUGUAAAGCAGGUGAAAACCCCCACUUUUAUUUCUUUAUGGUAUCACAGGUGGAACAGCUUAAGUUGGAGUGUCCUUAACAACAACAGCAACAGCAAAGAAAUACAAGGAUGGCUUGAAAGUAGCUUUAUUUAGUAAUGCUGAGUCUGUACAGAGCUAGGGAGAUUCCUGCUGCAGUACAGCAGCUGUACUCCUCACUGUCUUCCCAAAUGGCUGCUUGGUUUGCCAAACCCAUUUCUCUUCAAAAUGUUAAUAGAUGACAUUAAUUAAAACACGAGCCAAGCCUAAAGUAAAGGUUUUUUCUAAUCAAAGUACUUCUAAAUGAUUACUCUCUUGGCCUCUGCGAUGUUGGCACCUGACAGGUCACUCAGGGUUUACCCUGUACCAGCCAUAAAUUAUUUCAUCUAUUAAAAAUAGAUUCCCAUCCCUCCAUCCUGCGAGGGGCUGAAUCAGCAGGGAGCUGCACCCACAGUAGCACAGCCCAGGAAUUUUUGUCUUUAGGGUUGGCAUGAUGGUUCCUUCCCUCACAGGACAGCUGCUGAAGGAUUGAGGUGAGUUUGGUCACCCACAGGUUGCUGACACAGGUGCCAUCUCCAGAGUGAGCAAGGAAGCAGUGCCAGAGCAGGGAGUGGAGGGUCAGGAGCUCUGUCCCCAAAGUCAGUGUCCUUUUAGCUCGCUGGGACAGACAGAAAUAGGCCUGAAAGCACAUUCCCCAAGCGGCCUAAUUUCCCUGCCCUCACACAAUGUUCUCUUUCCUCCUCAGCACCAGGGUAUUUGUUUUAUUUUAGGAUUUAGGAGCUUACAACCUUUAUCGAAGGAUAAAGGUGCUCAACAAUUGACUGUAAUUUUUUUUUGGUUUUGGCUUAAGUAUUGCAAUUAAAGAGCAAAAGCCAGGCCAGUGUAACAAAGCAAGGCAGGUUAAACAUCCCCACCACACAAGUCUCACCCAGAAAACAGCAGAACAGCCCCCAAACAAAUAAUCCUCUCAUUCCUGCUGUCAGCUUCCCUUCUUUAAGUACUUGAAAGUUCCUCCCUGAACCAGGCUGUUGUGUUCAAGUAGAAAAAGGUCAGGGUGACACAGAAAGGGUUUAACUUCCUCCCCAGCACUGAAUCUCUGACCUGGAUGACAUUCAAGGUUGUCAAGGAAGCAGUUACAAACAACUAUAUUUAGGAAAUGAAAACACCUAUUUCCUCUCUCCUCUGCUCAGAGGCCAACACUCACCUGCAGUGUUUGCAGGGAGCUGUGACAAGAAGCUUAAUGGAAAGGAAGCAAAAAAAACCCCAACCCCCUUCUUUUCACUGGUUUAGUAGGUCUUAUGGAGGAAGAAGAUGGGUAGAGAUAAAAAGACUAAGCCUAAGUAGAGCACAGGACCAGCUUAACAGGCUCAGAAUAAACCUCCCUCCUGCUGUUAUUUAACA